GUUUUUUUUUUUUCCUGAUAGAAUGCAGUAUAUGACCUUAAAUUAGCUGACCUAGGGUUAUAGGAAGCUCUGAUAAGUUGUUCUAAUUAAGUCAUAUAAAAAUUUGUUUGAAUGUGAUAAAAUAACGCCAGAAAAUAGUUGAAACAUAUGGCAGAUCAUAACUGAAAAAUUGCGUAAGUUUCCAAAUACAAUUGCAGUGUGAUGCAUCCAGGCUUCCUGCUUACCUCAUUAACUGGUAGCAAUUAUAGGAAGGGCACUUGUGGCAACCACAUAAAAGAAAAAUGAUUUUCUAAAUGU
rnacentral:misc_RNA from 1 species